CACAUAAAUACACACUUCCUAAUUGGGUCAGAUUGCAGACACCUGUCCGCAAUCAGACCCCAUCACCCCAGCAGACCCGGUGCUCCAUACUCCCCCUGCAGGCCAGACGCCUCCCCACCUCCACAAUUAGGCUAUCAUUGAAUUCUCCAACCUGUCAAAUCCUACUUCACAUCUUCUCGGACAUUUUCUGUUUCAGAGCGGGACGGCUAGCUUCACCAGUGAGUCCUCAGUUCAUGGACCUAUUUUAAAAGCCUUAUAUUUUAUCAAGGGAUAAUUAAAGAGACAAGGGCCCUUAAUGGGGGUGCGGGCAGCCAAUGAAGCUCAGUUCACUGGCCUCCGCAACUUAUGGGAUGGUAUUGAUUGAUUUUGAGUGCUUGUAGUUUUUGGGGACUGUUCAAGUCACGUUUCAGUAGUCUUCAUUUUGUUAUGAAUAAUAUGUUAUGUUAUUAAAGUGGCAGUGUGGCUUUGCUUUACCCAGGGACUUUAUUUCUACUUCUGGCCUGGGGAUUACCAAACAGCCCAAAAAGAAGUGGAAUAAUUUAAGGGGCAGAUACAAAGUAAGAAUAAGUGUUUAUCUGCUUUGUAUUAUAUACUUAUAGAGCUUUCCAGGGAUUCCUUCAAAAUUUACCUUUAAAUAGAGUUUUAAAUAAAGUGUACUUAAGUGUGAUUACGUGAGAAUAAUUUGACAGUGCAGUAUUGAAUACCAGGAGCUUAGGGACCUGCCCACCGGCAGAAGGGUAGGGGCUGGUACAGCUACUGCUGCCUGGCAGUGAUAUGGUGCAAUGGAUGCUGCCUUCCAGGGGCAGCACUUCAGUCCCCCCGGUUUUUGCAAACAUGACUGCCACUACAGGUGGAGUAGUAAGCACACCGGCUUCUACCUCCUACCUCUGGCUUCUACACCGGCUUCUAAGCCAAGAGAAGUAGCAGCAGAAAGAGACCUAGGGGCAGUCUGCUGGAGCUUUUGAGGGAGCAGGGAGAAUGGGAAGAGGAGAGAGAGAGAGAGGCAGAGAGAGAGAGAGGCAGUGGCGAGAGAGGAGAGGGAGAGGGCGGCAGCAAUAAGGGCUGAACGGUACCUGUCCCUGUUUGAGCAAUUGAUUGAUUUUUUUUUAAUAAAUCUAGUUCAUCCGCUACUUCAUAGCAACAGUGUAUUUCUAUAUUUUUGCAUUUCACAAGUAUACUGGAGUGUUACACAAGGACUUCAGGAGGUAAGAGUUUCAAGAAGAAAAUCGCUGCUUUAUUAAGCAUAACAUUGCAACCAAAAAACAUAAACAACUUAUUUACACAUCAAAACUGGAGUUAACAUUACUGAACCGAUUGAGCAAGUAAACUACAUACAAAGGAGAAUAUAACAUUUGUCAUUACAAAUAUGGACAUUAAUUUACAAAGCAAGGAAUAAAUACAAGGUGUGUGUGUGCAUGUUCGUGUGUGUGUGUGUGUGUGUGUGUGUGUGUGUGUGUGUGUGUGUGUGUGUUUGUUCAUGUUCUCCCAGGCAAAUGUCCAUUCCUGCAGGAGCAGAAACCUGGGCAGCAAGCCUCGCAAACAGAGACCGGAUCUCCAGAUACUGCAGGAAGAUGGCCCACCAGUGGGUUUUGAGGAUCCUGAACGACCUCUCCACAAUGUUACGCCCUCUGGCAUUGUGCCUGUUGUAGCCUCAACAUGACCUGAACAGGUGUAUGCUGAUCAUCCCCCACAUGAAGAAGCCAACACAGAGUGCGGUUAUUUAAAUUGUGUACAACCCGAACAUGGUUUUGACAAACGACUGGAUUGAAUCUGACCUUACUGCCACAUCGGGGGCCCGACAGUGAGCCGGUUACAGAUUUGGGUAUUGGAGCAGGUGGAUGGCCCGGAAGGAAGGUCCGUUCAGACUGUUGGGGGUGCGCGUACAACUGUCCGAGUCAACAAUGCCAUACAUGCCUGUAUGCCAUCUCAGUAUCAUUACGAAACCCAUUACGAUGAUAUGUGUUGUGUUGGGUAGAUAUCCCUUCCAGAUACUUUUAGAAACUAUUUAAAAAAACACAACGGGUCUAUCGAUUGGCACCUGAAAAAAUCAUAAGUGUAUCUGAAUCUAUGCUAUGUGAUCUGCUGUCCGAAACCUAUGUUAUGGAUAAAUUGGACGAGAUAGGCAGAAAAUAUGUGGCCCCUGAACACCAGAGUGAGAUAAUUGAAGCAACGCGGUUGUGGCAUCGUACAUUGGAGUGGCAUCGUGCGUUGUAGGUUACAUACCGUAAUUUAUAAUGGGUAAUUUGAUUUAUUUUGCUUAUGAUGUGUUUAGUGAUUCUGUAUCAAAUAGGCUUGCUGUUUUGAUUCAUAGUAUGGUAGCAAAUGAUGCUUUUAUCAAUCAUAAUACUUUUAUCAGACGUGUGUAUAAGGAUUGUACGGAACCCGUAAAGGGUCAUGAAAAAAAAAAGAAAAGUAUCCCGUGAGCACGAGAAAGUAUCUCGUGCGCACGAGAAAGUAUCUCGUGCGCACGAGAAAGUAUGUUGUGCGCACGAGAAAGAAUCGUAGGCCUACUCAUAUCACUGGCAGUGUGUGUGUGUGUGUGUGUGUGUGUGUGUGUGUGUGUGUGUGUGAGAGCUACCUGCGAUAAGAAAGUAGUGUAUCAAAUAGAGGAAAUCUGAAUGGGUAUUUUAAAUAUUCCAGUUAAUCCUUCCAGUUGCGUUUAACCCAGUAGUUCAUAUGAGGAACAAUUGUCUACAAAUCCAUUUAUCUUCCAGACAUCGAACAAGAAUCCACAAAGACACAUUGCUUUAAAAGUAAAACCAGUUGUAGGUAUAUAAUUUAUUUAUUCACAAGUAUAUACUUAUAACUGCGACUGUUAAAAAGUGACACAUCACAUUAUCAACUGUAAGCAUAAAUAUCAUUUUUUGUUUAAUCUCUCUUGAAACUUGUUAAAUUAACCAACUGAAAACAGUUAUGGGUCAUUUUCAGCACCACUGUAUAGUACAUUCUCCAUAUUGCAUCAGGAUAUAAAAAUAUACUGAUAUUGUGAUCUUUUUUUCUUGAAAACAUUCUUUCCAUGUUGUUCAAUGGCAAAGAAACAAGAAGAAGAGGAAGAAAGGAUCUUGUGCUGCAAGUAAAAGUCCUCAUUGUCAGCAUGUUGUCUUCUAAUAUGUUCAUACACAAUAUGUCCAUUCAUUCAUGUAUUCACAGUACUGUUAAAACAUCAUUAGCAGUGGGAAAAAAAAGACUACAAAUAAAAAAACUAUAACAACAGAGUAUUAUGGUGUCUCUUAGACAGUGCAACACUCACAGUGCCACCGGCCUCCCGAGAGAGAGAGAGAGAGAGAGAGAGAGAGAGAGAGGGAGAGAGAGAGAGAGAGAGAGAGAGAGAGAGAGAGAGAGAGAGAGAGAGAGAGAGAGAGAGAGAGAGAGAGA